AUAUGUUAAGUGGAAAAGGAUGUGGCGUUGCCCAGACAACUAGGAUGUUGGCUUAGAAGCAGCCAUCAUUUAAAGAGUGCGUAAUAGCUCACUAGUCGAGUGACACUGCGCCGAAAAUGUACCGGGGCUAAACAUAUUACCGAAGCUGUGGAUUGUCCUUUGGACAAUGGUAGGAGAGCGUUCUAAGGGCGUUGAAGCAUGAUCGUAAGAACAUGUGGAGCGCUUAGAAGUGAGAAUGCCGGUGUGAGUAGCGAAAGACGGGUGAGAAUCCCGUCCACCGAUUGACUAAGGUUUCCAGAGGAAGGCUCGUCCGCUCUGGGUUAGUCGGGUCCUAAGCUGAGGCCGACAGGCGUAGGCGAUGGAUAACAGGUUGAUAUUCCUGUACCACCUAUAAUCGUUUUAAUCGAUGGGGGGGACGCAGUAGGAUAGGCGAAGCGUGCGAUUGGAUUGCACGUCUAAGCAGUAAGGCUGAGUAUUAGGCAAAUCCGGUACUCGUUAAGGCUGAGCUGUGAUGGGGAGAAGACAUUGUGUCUUCGAGUCGUUGAUUUCACACUGCCGAGAAAAGCCUCUAGAUAGAAAAUAGGUGCCCGUACCGCAAACCGACACAGGUAGUCAAGAUGAGAAUUCUAAGGUGAGCGAGCGAACUCUCGUUAAGGAACUCGGCAAAAUGACCCCGUAACUUCGGGAGAAGGGGUGCUCUUUAGGGUUAACGCCCAGAAGAGCCGCAGUGAAUAGGCCCAAGCGACUGUUUAUCAAAAACACAGGUCUCUGCUAAACCGUAAGGUGAUGUAUAGGGGCUGACGCCUGCCCGGUGCUGGAAGGUUAAGAGGAGUGGUUAGCUUCUGCGAAGCUACGAAUCGAAGCCCCAGUAAACGGCGGCCGUAACUAUAACGGUCCUAAGGUAGCGAAAUUCCUUGUCGGGUAAGUUCCGACCCGCACGAAAGGCGUAACGAUUUGGGCACUGUCUCAACGAGAGACUCGGUGA
rnacentral:rRNA from 1 species